CACAGCCAAGCCUGCAAAUUAAAAAUGCUAGAUUCUCCUGGAGGGAUGGUUCCGCUUGGGAUCAGAUACAUUAAUCACAAGGUUUCCUGCAGGAUGGGAAGGAGCUUGAUAAAUCUGUGUAGCAUCAUUAUUAGUCCUCACCGCAGCGCCUCCCUCAGCCUGGAAAGCUACUUGUGUGAGGCUGCCGGGAUGGAAUAGUGAAGGGAAGCAGAACAAAACUUGAGAACAUACCAGAAAGGAACGUUCUAAGCCCGUGGAAGGAGGCGGGGGGGCACAUUCCAGACUCAUGCACUCACCUGGAUUAAGUUGCGCCAUCAUCUCGCCUCGGCGGAGUGUGUCAGGCCGCCCGCUGCCCAGCCUUUAUAUAGGAAGGGGCAGGAGGCGGGACCUGUGCACCAGCCACAAAACAGGACCCUCACUGUUGCCACGGAAGACUGGUUUUACCUGCGGUACCGUAUUGCUACUCACGGUGCAGGGCUGGAAUCAACAUACACUACAGUUGGUCUUCCUUCGUUCUUUUCGUCACACUUUGGAACC